AAGACUAUAGACCUGCGGAGUACCUGCGGAAGGAUCAUUACAGAGUUUACAACUCCCAAACCCACUGUGAACCUUACAGCGUCGUUGCCUCGGCGGACCGCCCCCGGCGCGGCCCCCCUCGGGGGGGCGCCCGGGACCACGGCGCCCGCCGGAGGACCCAAACUCUUGUAUUUGCAGGAUGCAUUGCUCUGAGUGAAAACAAGCAAAUGAAUCAAAACUUUCAACAACGGAUCUCUAGAU
rnacentral:misc_RNA from 1 species